UUUGAGUUGUGUGAGAAAGAAAACAUUGCCAAAAGUUUUAUUAUCUUUGUUGAAUGCUUUCUUUAGUGUUUUUACACAUUGUACUUAAAACACAUGGCGAUUAAUAUAAAAGCGAUUAUGUUCUGCGAGUUUCACCCAAUUGCUGGACCUAAGAUUGUCUACCAGGUGCCAGAAGACUUCAUUUCAAAGGAGUCAUUUGAUUGUAUUGCAGUCUACAUAAUAACCAAGCCUGAAUUGCAAAGCAAAGUCAUUACUGUAAAUGCAUUUGGUGACAAGUUUAUUGGUUAUCCAGUGUGUAUAACCAAUGCAAAGUAUUCUCGCAAUGCGCUUCUAUUCAAUGUUUGUUUUGUUCUGGAUGAGUCUGCAGAAGUUCAAGCCUUUCAACCUGUAGUGAAGAAGCUCGCAGCAUAUCUUACAUCACUUGAGCUGGAAAAUGGGUUUAUAUCUGAAGAAGACAGCAAGAAAAGAAUUCCUGCAAUUCUCACUACUAUCUUGCAUGGUCUCAAUGAAGAAAGAAAAUGCAUUAUUCCCAUAAAUGCGGUGACAACGAUCUAUCUUCAUUUGUCAAUGACUAAAGAUGACCAGCCUGAAGUGUUUAAUCAUCAUGUUCCUAUAUUUCUAUGGGACAGCUCAAUCAUUACUGCUGCUCAAUGGGAUAUAACCACUCAACAGAUUUUACCUUACAUAGACGGCUUUCAGCAUAUAAAGAAGAUAGCAGCUCAAGCGGAUGUUGAUAUAAAUUUGGUCAGACUUUGUAUUCAGAAUAUGGUUCAUUUCCAAGUUGUGACAUUGAUUUCAAUUUUUCAGUACUCCAACGUGUACAUUCCAACUCCGAAGAUAAACAAUUUAUUUCAAGACAAGCAACUACAAGAGGAAUGCACGAAUUAUGUUGCUAGGAAAUUUCGCCGUCCUCCAUUGUUUCGUGACGUAUUUCAGUUAUAUUCUGGGCUCAGUGCUGGUGCAACCGUGCGAGACCUUUGUUCGAGAUACAACCCGGCGUUUCUACGCAUCGACGAACGAUGUUUGAUUCAGUUCGGUUUGAUGAAAGGUUUCAUACGUCGUUUACACAAAUUUCCGGUACUUUUGAAACCAGAUGAUGGCAUGCAAGCUUCGCAAAAUGAACGUCUAGCAAGAUGGUUGAAUGGAAGCCAUAAUUAUGACGAAAUCUGUACCGAAACUGGCAUGAGUCACCAAAAAUUGGACGAAAUCAUUGAAAACCACCCUAACAUCACCGUUAUUUGGAAAUGAGAGAAGGGUGAAUACCGCUGACAAAGUCGGUCGUGGCGUCCAGCAUUCUAGAAUGGCGCUUUCCUUGAUGAAAAAAUAAGAACGCAAAUUCAACCUUGUAUUUUGGUAGUGGAUGACCUUUAUCAAAGUGACACUAUAUAUGUGGUGGCAGAAGGAAUAGUUUUGUGCCAUGUAACAACCAAAAAGAUUGGCGAUGCUCUUGUUGCUUUGUUGGCCACGUACUAUAUGUACAAUAUAAAAUACAUUGAGGGCAAGAAUGUCUAUAGCUUUCUUGACAUGGCAUUAUUGGGAAUUAUCCCAGAGAAGUGUCCAUCUUCUGUGAAAAGUUUAGUUGGAGUGUUAUCAAAUGUGUUCAACUAAUCAUGAAUGCACAUGGUUAUAUAGAUUAUGUUUUAUUUCAAUUCUUUUUUGUGAAGUUUAAUUUGAGUGAGAUGAAAAUAUGUGCACGUAAAGUAUUUUAAUGAAGAUGUUAAGCACUUAUGUGCUUACGUAUA